GAUGAACGCUAGCGGCAGGCCUAACACAUGCAAGUCGAGGGGUAACAGGGAGCUUGCUCUGCUGACGACCGGCGCACGGGUGCGUAACGCGUAUACAAUCUGCCCCUUACUAAGGAAUAGCCCAGGGAAACUUGGAUUAAUGCCUUAUAGUAUCGAGAGAUGGCAUCAUUUUCGAUUAAAGGUUACGGUGAGGGAUGAGUAUGCGUCCUAUUAGCUUGUUGGUGUGGUAACGGCACACCAAGGCAACGAUAGGUAGGGGCCCUGAGAGGGGGAUCCCCCACACUGGUACUGAGACACGGACCAGACUCCUACGGGAGGCAGCAGUGAGGAAUAUUGGACAAUGGGCGAGAGCCUGAUCCAGCCAUGCCGCGUGCAGGAAGACUGCCCUAUGGGUUGUAAACUGUCUUUUGUACGGGAAGAAACCACCCCCACGUGGUGGGGUCGUUGACGGUACCGUAAGAAUAAGCAUCGGCUAACUCCGUGCCAGCAGCCGCGGU
rnacentral:rRNA from 1 species